GACGAACGCUGGCGGCGCGCUUAACACAUGCAAGUCGAGCGAGAACCGGGGCCUCGGCCCCGGGGACAGCGGCGAACGGGUGAGUAACACGUGGGUAACCUGCCCUCGGCACCGGGAUAGCCCGGGGAAACCCGGAUUAAUACCGGACAGCCUCCGGAGCCUUCGGGCGCCGGAGCAAAGGUGGCUUCGGCUUCCGGCCGAGGAGGGGCCUGCGGCGGAUUAGCUUGUUGGCGGGGUAAUGGACCACCAAGGCGACGAGCCGUAGCUGGUCUGAGAGGACGAUCAGCCACACUGGGACGGGGAGACGGCCCCGACUCCUGCGGGAGGCAGCAGUGUGGAAUCGUGCACAAUGGGCGCAAGCCUGAUGCAGCGAGGGCGUGUGCGGGAAGAAGGCCUUCGGGUUGUAAACCGCUUUCAGGAGGGACGAAGCUCCUCGGGUUAAUAGCCCAGAGGGUGACGGUACCUCCAGAAGAAGCCCCGGCUAACUACGUGCCAGCCGCCGCAGUAACAC
rnacentral:rRNA from 1 species